rnacentral:rRNA from 1 species
UACGUAGGCAGCGAGCGUUGUUCGGAGUUACUGGGCGUAAAGGGUGUGUAGGCGGUUGUUUAAGUUUGGUGUGAAAAUCUCCCGGCUCAACUGGGAGGGUGCGCCGAAUACUGAAUGACUUCGAGUGCGGGAGAGGAAAGUGGAAUUCCUGGUGUAGCGGUGAAAUGCGUAGAUAUCAGGAGGAACACCGGUGGUGUAGACGGCUUCUGGACCGUAACUGACGCUGAGACACGAAAGCGUGGGUAGCAAACAGG